rnacentral:tRNA from 1 species
GCGGGAAUAGCUCAGUUGGUAGAGCAUAACCUUGCCAAGGUUGGGGUCGCGAGUUCGAGUCUCGCUUCCCGCUCCA